GGAUCCCAUCACAACUCCGCAAUUAAGCGUGCUUGGGCGAGAGUAUUACUAGGAUGGGUGACCUCCUGGGAAGUCCUCGUGUUGCACCC
rnacentral:rRNA from 1 species